ensembl:lncRNA
AGGGAUCCACUUAGGAGAACGAGUCAGGUGCAUCUGGAGAAGUGCUUUUCUCCUGCUGCUAUGCAGAUCAGCCAAAAACUAUACAUACGAAAUCUCAGAGAAAUGGAUGAAGUUAAGAAGUUUCCAGCAGAAAAAGGAAAAAACAGGAUACCAAAAUGGCAGAAGGAAAAUGAAGAGAUGGGCUGUAAGAAAAAAAUCAGAACAUCCAAAGAAAAGCAUACCAGGUGGUACGAAGGUAGAUACUCUAUGACACAUCCAGCAACUGAAGAAAAGAAUGCAAACUUUUGUACUUGGAUGUAACAUUUCCCAACAAGACUGAAGAACCUAAAAUGCCCAAGACAAAAACUGAGGAAGGACACACUUCUGUAUUUUAAAGCCAAACUAGUAGGCCUUCACAAAGAAUGCAGACUGUAGGAGUAACGAUCCUGAACCAAAUUUUAAAACUGGCUCAACAUAUUCUUGAAACUACCUGUGCAAAUGCUCAUAAUGUCUUACUCAGAAAGUAAUCACAGUGUUGGAUGCAUGGUUUCUUACAAUAUUCAUG